AAAAUUUUUUCGGUUGGGGAUGGGCUCGCGGCCUUUNCAGCUUGUUGGUGGGGUAAAGGCCUACCAAGGCGACGACGGGUAGCCGGCCUGAGAGGGCGACCGGCCACACUGGGACUGAGACACGGCCCAGACUCCUACGGGAGGCAGCAGUGGGGAAUAUUGCACAAUGGGGGAAACCCUGAUGCAGCGACGCCGCGUGAGGGAUGACGGCCUUCGGGUUGUAAACCUCUUUCAGUAGGGAAGAAGCCUUUCGAGGUGACGGUACCUGCAGAAGAAGUACCGGCUAACUACGUGCCAGCAGCCGCGGUAAUACGUAGGGUACAAGCGUUGUCCGGAAUUAUUGGGCGUAAAGAGCUCGUAGGCGGUCCGUCGCGUCUGCUGUGGAAACGCAAGGCUCAACCUUGCGCGUGCAGUGGGUACGGGCGGACUAGAGUGCAGUAGGGGAGUCUGGAAUUCCUGGUGUAGCGGUGAAAUGCGCAGAUAUCAGGAGGAACACCGGUGGCGAAGGCGGGACUCUGGGCUGUUACUGACGCUGAGGAGCGAAAGCAUGGGGAGCGAACAGGAUUAGAUACCCUGGUAGUCCAUGCCGUAAACGUUGGGCACUAGGUGUGGGGCUCAUUCCACGAGUUCCGCGCCGCAGCUAACGCAUUAAGUGCCCCGCCUGGGGAGUACGGCCGCAAGGCUAAAACUCAAAGGAAUUGACGGGGGCCCGCACAAGCGGCGGAGCAUGCGGAUUAAUUCGAUGCAACGCGAAGAACCUUACCAAGGCUUGACAUACACCGGAAUGUGCCAGAGAUGGUUCAGCCCUUUGGGCUGGUGUACAGGUGGUGCAUGGUUGUCGUCAGCUCGUGUCGUGAGAUGUUGGGUUAAGUCCCGCAACGAGCGCAACCCUCGUUCUAUGUUGCCAGCACGUGAUGGUGGGAACUCAUAGGAGACUGCCGGGGUCAACUCGGAGGAAGGUGGGGAUGACGUCAAAUCAUCAUGCCCUUUAUGUCUUGGGCUUCACGCAUGCUACAAUGGUCGGUACAAAGGGUUGCGAGACCGUGAGGUGGAGCGAAUCCCAGAAAGCCGAUCUCAGUUCGGAUCGUAGUCUGCAACUCGACUACGGAAGUCGGAGUCGCUAG
rnacentral:rRNA from 1 species